GCCGGAGUGUGCCAGCCGUGGGAAAAGAACGGCGCCGGAGCGUGGAGCUAGGCGGCGCGGUCAUAGGCGGGACCCAAAGUCUGACAGGCAAGGGGUGAGGACACUGAGGGAAAACUGCCCAAGACUGCACAGCUAGAAAGCAUGAGAGCCUGGAUUUGAACCCAAGCAGUCUGGCCCCAGAGCUUGCGUUGUGGAUCCCUAUGUGAAACGACCAGAAUGUAGCUGAGACCCAGGAAACCAGGUCAGAAGGAGACACUCUGCUGCCUCAGAGCCCUCCAUCUGGCCUCCAUCCAAGUCUGCCAGAGAGGGUCCUCAGGAUAAAACUUCAAACUCAUUCCCUUGACGGUCAAGGCAUCCCCACCAUGCAUCCACCUCUUCACGCCAGGCACUGGGAUUGUCUCCACUAAAUUGUGAGUCCUUGGCUAUGAGGGACCAGGUCUGAUUCCUCUCUGGGUCCCAAGGGUGCAGGAUAAACUGCAGUAGAGAGGGAACUCGGAAAAUGGGGAUGGAUAGAAUACUGGGAUAAAUGUGUAUGAGAAGAAAAGGAAAUAGGAGUGUGGGAGCUUUUUCAGUUACCAGCGGGAUUCCUUCCAGCUGAAACAGCCCCAUUUUUCGUAACUCCUAACUACCUUGUUAUGCAGAAUCUUAGUAAUGGGCAGCACAAGUGUGGGAAAAAAAACAGCAGGGAGCUAAGUUCAUGUACAGAAACGAAACGUUGGAGCUGAGACGGGAGGAGACAGGAGAGUCGGGGAGGGGGCUUCUCUAUGGAAGAGGGUUAGGGGGAUUUUUUAAGUGAGAAAAAAAUGGGGGAGCAGUUUCCAUGCCUGGCAGGGGUUAAGGAGCCCCAAGUCUUAAUAGAGAAAAAGAAAGGGACAAAGAGUGUGUUAAGUUUCUCUGUGGGUCCUGACUGUAUUCCUGCCUGGGCAAUUCCUCUGUGGCAAAGAUGUGAUUGGUUCCAGUAUUUUAUUUUUGGUCCCUGGGCUGUUGUUUUCCUGCAUGUGACUGGAACUGGCUUUGAGACAAGAGUAAGCUGGCAGCCUUGUGUGGGUCACAGAUGAGGGACAGGCUCAGUUAUGCGACAACAAAUAUUUACUGAGUGCCUACCAUGUGCCAGGUCUUGUUCCUGACCAGGGGUCUGCACACGUUUUCUGUAAAAGCCAAACAGUAAAUAUUUUCAGCUUUGAGAGCCA